rnacentral:rRNA from 1 species
GACGAACGCUGGCAGCGUGCUUAACACAUGCAAGUCGAGCGGAAAGGCCCUGCUUUUGUGGGGUGCUCGAGUGGCGAACGGGUGAGUAACACGUGAGUAACCUGCCCUUGACUUUGGGAUAACUUCAGGAAACUGGGGCUAAUACCGGAUAGGAGCUCCUGCUGCAUGGUGGGGGUUGGAAAGUUUCGGCGGUUGGGGAUGGACUCGCGGCUUAUCAGCUUGUUGGUGGGGUAGUGGCUUACCAAGGCUUUGACGGGUAGCCGGCCUGAGAGGGUGACCGGCCACAUUGGGACUGAGAUACGGCCCAGACUCCUACGGGAGGCAGCAGUGGGGAAUAUUGCACAAUGGGCGGAAGCCUGAUGCAGCAACGCCGCGUGCGGGAUGACGGCCUUCGGGUUGUAAACCGCUUUCGCCUGUGACGAAGCGUGAGUGACGGUAAUGGGUAAAGAAGCACCGGCUAACUACGUG